rnacentral:rRNA from 1 species
GGGAGUAAUAGCCCACCAAGGCAAUGAUGGGUAGGGGUUCUUAGUGGAAGAUCCCCCACACUGGCACUGAGAUACGGGCCAGACUCCUACGGGAGGCAGCAGUAGGGAAUAUUGGUCAAUGGGCGCAAGCCUGAACCAGCCAUUCCGCGUGCAGGAUGAAGGCUCUACGAGUUGUAAACUGCUUUUGUACAGGAACAAAAAAGCCCCUGCGGGGGUUCUUGAGUGUACUGUAAGAAUAAGCACCGGCUAAUUCCGUGCCAGCAGCCGCGGUAAUACGGAAGGUGCAAGCGUUAUCCGGUUUUAUUGGGUUUAAAGGGUGCGUAGGCGGCUUAUUAAGUCAGUUGUGAAAUCCUAGCGCUCAACGUUAGAACUGCGAUUGAUACUGAUAGGCUUGAGUCAAGAAGAGGUAGGUAGAAUUUAUGGUGUAGUAGUGAAAUGCUUAGAUAUCAUAAGGAAUACCAAUAGCGUAGGCAGCUUACUGGUCUUGAACUGACGCUGAGGCACGAAAGCGUGGGGAGCAAACAGGAUUAG